rnacentral:rRNA from 1 species
UACGUAGGGCGCAAGCGUUAUCCGGAAUUAUUGGGCGUAAAGAGCUCGUAGGCGGUUUGUCGCGUCUGCUGUGAAAGACCGGGGCUCAACUCCGGAUCUGCGGUGGGUACGGGCAGACUAGAGUGAUGUAGGGGAGACUGGAAUUCCUGGGUGUAGCGGUGAAAUGCGCAGAUAAUCAGGAGGAACACCGAUGGCGAAGGGCAGGUCUCUGGGCAGUAACUGACGCUGAGGAGCGAAAGCGUGGGGAGCGA